AUUGAACGCUGGCGGCAGGCCUAACACAUGCAAGUCGAACGGAGCGCCAGUAGGGUGAGUAAUAUCUAUGAAUCUGCCUGGUACUGGGGGAUAACGUUAGGUAACGGACGCUGACACCGCAUACUAUCACAUGCGCCUAGGUGGGAUUAGCUAGUGGGUGAGGGAAUGGCUCACCAAGGCCUCGACCCGUAUCUGGUCUGAGAGGAUGACCAGCCACACUGGAACUGAGACACGGUCCAGACUCCUACGGGAGGCAGCAGUGGGGAAUAUUGGACAAUGGGCGAAAGCCUGAUCCAGCCAUGCCGCGUGUAUGAAGAAGGCCUUCGGAUUGUAAAGUACUUUAAGUGGGGAGGCGUUACCCGCAGAAUAAGCACCGGCUAACUCUGUGCCAGCAGCCGCGGUAAUUC
rnacentral:rRNA from 1 species